CUCCCGUAUUUUUCACCUUUACUGCCUCUCCUACGCGUCCUUCCGUGCUGUGGCGUUUUCUGUGACGUCCCUGGCCUUGCCAAAAGCUGCGUGAGGAUGACGAGGCGCACUAGGGACCCAGGGGCGGCGUUAUACAAGGCCUUGUGAGACAGACGCCCGCCACGUCACGCCGCUGCUGUAGAGGCGGGAAUUCCCACACAGCACACGAGGAGGCGAAGGAAGAAGGGAGGAGGAGGAAGAGGAAGAAGAAGAGAAGAAGAGGAAGAAGA